rnacentral:rRNA from 1 species
AGAGUUUGAUCCUGGCUCAGGACGAACGCUGGCGGCGCGCCUAACACAUGCAAGUCGAACGAGCGAGAGAGAGCUUGCUUUCUCGAGCGAGUGGCGAACGGGUGAGUAACGCGUGAGGAACCUGCCUCAAAGAGGGGGACAACAGUUGGAAACGACUGCUAAUACCGCAUAAGCCCACGACCCGGCAUCGGGUAGAGGGAAAAGGAGCAAUCCGCUUUGAGAUGGCCUCGCGUCCGAUUAGCUAGUUGGUGAGGUAACGGCCCACCAAGGCGACGAUCGGUAGCCGGACUGAGAGGUUGAACGGCCACAUUGGGACUGAGACACGGCCCAGACUCCUACGGGAGGCAGCAGUGGGGAAUAUUGCACAAUGGGGGAAACCCUGAUGCAGCGACGCCGCGUGGAGGAAGAAGGUCUUCGGAUUGUAAACUCCUGUUGUUGAGGAAGAUAAUGACGGUACUCAACAAGGAAGUGACGGCUAACUACGUGCCAGCAGCCGCGGUAAAACGUAGGUCACAAGCGUUGUCCGGAAUUACUGGGUGUAAAGGGAGCGCAGGCGGGAAGACAAGUUGGAAGUGAAAUCUAUGGGCUCAACCCAUAAACUGCUUUCAAAACUGUUUUUCUUGAGUAGUGCAGAGGUAGGCGGAAUUCCCGGUGUAGCGGUGGAAUGCGUAGAUAUCGGGAGGAACACCAGUGGCGAAGGCGGCCUACUGGGCACCAACUGACGCUGAGGCUCGAAAGUGUGGGUAGCAAACAGGAUUAGAUACCCUGGUAGUCCACACCGUAAACGAUGAUUACUAGGUGUUGGAGGAUUGACCCCUUCAGUGCCGCAGUUAACACAAUAAGUAAUCCACCUGGGGAGUACGACCGCAAGGUUGAAACUCAAAGGAAUUGACGGGGGCCCGCACAAGCAGUGGAGUAUGUGGUUUAAUUCGAAGCAACGCGAAGAACCUUACCAGGGCUUGACAUCCUACUAACGAAGUAGAGAUACAUUAGGUGCCCUUCGGGGAAAGUAGAGACAGGUGGUGCAUGGUUGUCGUCAGCUCGUGUCGUGAGAUGUUGGGUUAAGUCC